ACUAAUUAGCGAUUUUUUUUUUUUGUUAUUUACCUACACUAUGUAGGCCGGAGAUUGGAGAGUUUCAGACAGCUAGGUUAUUCAAGAAACUUUGAAUGCCAACUCCAAUGCUUGGCUUGCUGAAUCAGCAUAUGGACUACUUCAUCGUUGAACUAACACGGCAAGGCAAAGAAAAAGGAAUUGAAGGGAAGCCAUGCAAAAGAACAAACACAUACGGAUAGGUGCAACCAUUUCAUUUUCAUUGACCAAACAGUAUAAGGUGGUCGCGCAGCCAUUCAAUUUCAGUAGGCACUUGGAGCGUACCAGCGCAGACACCGGCCAGCUUCAGUCAGAACUGCCGCAAACGGAUCGCCAGUUCUAGUCCACGAUCAAAGCAGUAGACUUUUUACCAUCCGACGACCCUCGAGUAGACUUGGAUAAAAAAAGAUCCGGGAUCGUGGCAGUCAUUUUCGAUGUGUAUGCAGUACAAAUGAUUAGUAGGACUGACUUUCCCAUGUCAUAUGAGUUGCACGCAAAACUCUUUCAGGUUUGAAGCUGCAAAAGCCAAAGGCAUCUUCCUCUUCCUCUUCCCGGUCUCUGGUCCGAAGAAUGGACCUGGGAUCCUGAUGUCUUCUGGUUUGUCACUAUCAGGCAGGCUUCACCGUGCUCCGGUCCUCCAGUUCAAGUCCUUCCUUUGCAGCAGUCAGAGAACCCCAGAAGAAACCAACAAAAAGAUGCUCGAUGCAGUUCCACUCGAAACAAAGCAACUGUCAACCUUUGAAGUUCGAACGGUCAAUUCCAUAAGAACACAAAUAGUUUACUUCGCUUGCAAACAAAUAGAUGACGCCAGCAUGCAAACCGUCAGUAAACUAUGUAUAUCUCCUUGUUCAUCAGAAGAAUGGAACGGGAAAGGCGCGACGAAAGCUUAUCAAGUUGAGAUGCAAACUAAACUAGAGACAUUUCCAAGGAAGAGCUGCUGAGGAAUUACAGGUGGAUGAGUAUCCCGCAUCAGUAAUUUACACAAAGAAUGGCACCGAACACUGUCAGAUGACAACACCGGCGCAGAAAAGACCGAUAUGUGACCCCCAUUACCACUAAACCCUUUGACCACAACAACUGUCCAUACAUAAAACACGAUCCAAGAUACCAAAACAUGACAGUCAAAAGUCAAAAUGGGUCACGGUCAUCGUUCUUCCCUCUUCUCCGGGUGUGUCACCAUCAGUAAAAACAAUCACAGAACCCAGCCCGCCAACACAAAGCUCAGAAGAAUCCACACAUCAUUGG
rnacentral:lncRNA from 1 species